UCCUCCGGGAGGCAGCAGUGAGGAAUUUUCCGCAAUGGGCGAAAGCCUGACGGAGCAAUACCGCGUGAGGGAUUAAGGAUUUUGGUCUGUAAACCUCUUUUUUCAAGAAAGAAGUUCUGACGGUACUUGAAGAAUAAGCAUCGGCUAACUCCGUGCCAGCAGCCGCGGUAAU
rnacentral:rRNA from 1 species